rnacentral:rRNA from 1 species
ACACGACUACAUUAGAUACCCCUGUAGUCCUAGGCGUAAAUGAUGCGAGUUAAGUGGUGGGGGCAUCUACGAGAUGGCCCUGUGCUGUAGGGUAGACCGUUAAACUCGCUGCCGUGGGGAGUACGGUCGCAAGGCUGAAAACUUAAAGGAAUUGGCGGGGGAGCACCACAACGGGUGGAGCCUGCGGUUUAAUUGGACUCAACGCCGGGAAGCUCACCGGAUAAGACAGCGGAAUGAUUGCCGGGCUGAAGACCCUGCAUGACCAGCUG